GAGUUUGAUCCUGGCUCAGGAUGAACGCUGGCGGCGUGCCUAAUACAUGCAAGUCGAGCGAACAGAUAAGGAGCUUGCUCCUUUGACGUUAGCGGCGGACGGGUGAGUAACACGUGGGUAACCUACCUAUAAGACUGGAAUAACUCCGGGAAACCGGGGCUAAUGCCGGAUAAUAUUUAGAACCGCAUGGUUCUAAAGUGAAAGAUGGUUUUGCUAUCACUUAUAGAUGGACCCGCGCCGUAUUAGCUAGUUGGUGGGGUAAUGGCUUACCAAGGCAACGAUACGUAGCCGACCUGAGAGGGUGAUCGGCCACACUGGAACUGAGACACGGUCCAGACUCCUACGGGAGGCAGCAGUAGGGAAUCUUCCGCAAUGGGCGAAAGCCUGACGGAGCAACGCCGCGUGAGUGAUGAAGGUCUUCGGAUCGUAAAACUCUGUUAUUAGGGAAGAACAAAUGUGUAAGUAACUGUGCACGUCUUGACGGUACCUAAUCAGAAAGCCACGGCUAACUACGUGCCAGCAGCCG
rnacentral:rRNA from 1 species